CCAAAGAGUCAGCCACAAGCUUCUGGUUUCUGGGGCAGGAGUCAGGACAGGAGAAGGGGACAUGGGCGUCAUCAGCCCUGGGUGGACUUUACAUCCUUGGGUCCAGCCAGACCGGCCAGGAAGUGAGUCUAGAGAGAGAGGACACAAGUCACAUCAGCGAAGAGACAAGAGGUUUCAAAAGGGAACACGCAACUGUGUUUAUUACGCGGGAGAGGUGAGUGAGGUGAGGGCUGAGAGCAGAAGGGGGAAAGCGAUCUGAACCAGAGAGCUUCAGUGCACAGCCUUUAUUUGCUGAGACUCAUAAUGAUCCUGUGAGUUCAUAACGACCCCAUUUUACAGACGCCAACGACCCUGGGUCAUCUAGCUAUUUCGUAAAUCCUGGUAACUCCUCAUCCUCUGGUUAUACCAACAUACCAGUAUUUUUAGUAUCUUCAGUGGGAGAAUUGAUAUGAACGAUUUAGCCUGACAUUACCAGAAAAGAAAAGUCUGCC